rnacentral:lncRNA from 1 species
CUACCAUCAUGUUGCCUAUAAAAGCACGGCCCCUCGUAGUUCUUGCUUCAUCAACCCUACUCCUACGUGCUUGAUCAUAUAUAGCACACAAAAGAUAAGUUCACCCACGAGCUGCAACAUGGGUAGUGCAAACAUUAUUAUCCUUGUUGUCUUGCUCUUCUCCUCGGUGCUCACGCUUCUGCUUCCCACUGCUGCCUGUGCUCGCCACGGUGAGUUCCUCUCCAAUCUAUAUAGAUCAUGCGUCCUAGUUUGUGUUGUUACUUACCCCGAGUCCCAUUGGCAUGCAGCUCCAGCAGCUGCGGUGCUUAACGCAAAAGAUGGCCUCAACGACACCGGAGGACUACAUCACGUGGUGGUCAGUGACGCGGGGAAGGCUGGCCCUGUCACGAGCGACAGUGGCGGCUUCUGGCCGGGAACGGCUGAGGCGUGUGUGGCGUCAAGGCACCGGGGCGACACGGCCACCGUGAUGCAAGACAUGCUCGGGAUGGAUUACUCUCCGGCGGUGCGCAAGCCCCCGCGUC